rnacentral:rRNA from 1 species
UACGGAGGGUGCAAGCGUUGAUCGGAAUUAUUGGGCGUAAAGCGCACGCAGGCGGCUUGGUAAGUCAGUUGUGAAACUCCCGGGCUUAACUUGGGAACUGCAGCUGAUACUGCCAUGCUUGAGUACGGAAGAGGGGAGUGGAAUUCCCAGUGUAGAGGUGAAAUUCGUAGAUAUUGGGAGGAACACCGGUGGCGAAGGCGGCUCCCUGGUCCGAUACUGACGCUCAUGUGCGAAAGCGUGGGGAGCAAACAGG